rnacentral:rRNA from 1 species
AUUGAACGCUGGCGGCAUGCUUUACACAUGCAAGUCGAACGGUAACAGGCCUUCGGGUGCUGACGAGUGGCGAACGGGUGAGUAAUGCAUCGGAACGUGCCCAAUCGUGGGGGAUAACGUAGCGAAAGUUACGCUAAUACCGCAUAAGCCCUGAGGGGGAAAGUGGGGGACCGCAAGGCCUCACGCGAAUGGAGCGGCCGAUGUCAGAUUAGCUAGUUGGUGGGGUAAAGGCCCACCAAGGCGACGAUCUGUAGCGGGUCUGAGAGGAUGAUCCGCCACACUGGGACUGAGACACGGCCCAGACUCCUACGGGAGGCAGCAGUGGGGAAUUUUGGACAAUGGGCGCAAGCCUGAUCCAGCCAUGCCGCGUGCGGGACAAAGGCCUCGGUUGUAA